AAAACAAUUGAAUGGCAUCAUUUGAUUGUCAAAGGAGUAAUCCGGUGUAAAUGGACCCGCGUCCGAUUAGCUAGUUGGUGAGGUAAAGGCUCACCAAGGCACGAUCGGUAGCCGAACUGAGAGGUUGAUCGGCCACAUUGGGACUGAGAACGGCCCAGACUCCUACGGGAGGCAGCAGUGGGGAAUAUUGCGCAAUGGGGAAACCCUGACGCAGCAACGCCGCGUGAAGGAUGAAGGCUUUCGGGUCUAAACUUCUUUGAUUAGGGACGAAUAAAUGACGGUACCUAAAAAACAAGCACGGCUAACUACGUGCCAGCAGCCGCGGUAAUACGUAGGUGGCGAGCGUAUCCGGAAUUACUGGGUGUAAAGGGCGUGUAGGCGGGGAAGUAAGUCAGUGUGAAAUUCCGGAGCUCAACUCCGGCGCUGCAUCUGAAACUGCAUCUCUGAGUACUGGAGAGGAAAAGUGGGAAUUCCUAGUGUAACCGGUGAA
rnacentral:rRNA from 1 species